UACGUAGGGGGCAAGCGUUGUCCGGAAUUAUUGGGCGUAAAGCGCGCGCAGGCGGUGAUGUAAGUUGGGUGUUUAAACCUAGGGCUCAACCUUGGGUCGCAUCCAAAACUGCAUGACUUGAGUACAGAAGAGGAAAGUGGAAUUCCACGUGUAGCGGUGAAAUGCGUAGAUAUCGGGAGGAACACCAGUGGCGAAAGCGGCCGGCUGGGCCUGUCCUGACGCUGAGACGCGAAGGCUGGGGUAGCGAACAGG
rnacentral:rRNA from 1 species